ACAGUAUCGUUGUGACAUUAAUGCUGCUGAUGCACUAGACCCCAAAUCCAAAAGUACAAACCCCCCUUUUCUCUAUUUCAUUGUUCUUCUGGGGUGGAGGAUGUGUGUAUUGCAUCCCUUCCUCCUCAUAAUGGCUACCCCUUGACAAUACCAGUUAAGCCUGUCCCAAGCGGCAGCUUCGGAGGGAAGGAACUGCACAUCAACAUGGAAAGCAGCACUCAUCCAGUCACCCACUCACCCAGGCAAGUUUCAAGGGUGUAAAUAAUUUGCAUGUAAUCCUAUGUGUUUGCCAAUUGUUAAUCAGGUAAU